rnacentral:rRNA from 1 species
GGAAUAUUGCGCAAUGGGCGAAAGCCUGACGCAGCAACGCCGCGUGCGGGAAGAAGGUCUUCGGAUCGUAAACCGCUUUUCUGCGGGAAGAGACAAGGACGGUACCGCAGGCAGAAGUCUCGGCUAACUACGUGCCAGCAGCCGCGGUAAAACGUAGGAGGCAAGCGUUAUCCGGAUUUACUGGGCGUAAAGCGCGUGCAGGCGGUUUGGCAAGUCAAGCGUGAAAGCUCCCAGGCUCAACCGGGAGAGGACGUGUGAAACUGCCAGACUAGAGGUAGAGAGAGGCAAGUAGAAUUCCGGGUGUAGUGGUGAAAUGCGUAGAUAUCCGGAGGAAUACCAGUGGCGAAGGCGACUUGCUGGCUCUGCACUGACGCUCAGACGCGAAAGCAUGGGGAGCGAAC